rnacentral:SRP_RNA from 1 species
CGGCCAGCUCCCUCUGAACCCCGUCAGGGCCGGAAGGCAGCAGCGGUAGGAGGUCGAACGACAAUCAAGCUGGGCUGAA